GAAUAAAAUAAUUAAGAAUAAAACCAAAUUAAAGACCUCAGUCGGAACCAAAGGUUUUUUAAUAGGUUUUCAAUUUUUUUAAUUAAAGGUGAAUAAAAUUAAAUGGCUUCAGCAUCAAAGGAGUGGGGAGUUGGACAGGAACCCCCUAAAGAACCGGUUCACAAAAACACAUAAAUCAAACUCAAACGUCUCAAGAACCUGACAGCCCCGAUUCUGUUCAUGACGAAACGGGAUGCAACCAGCAGGAAGGUACUGGCUCUGUCCCGCUCUGGACUCAGCCAGUUGUUCCACCCUGGACUGGUGUUAUAGAUUAACUGGUGGCGGCAUCUGGAAGAGACAGAUGUUUCUGUGGGCGUGGCUUUUUAGGACCCCUUUACCGAACCAGGAAGUAAACAAUGCAAUAAGAUUAAAAAGCUAGAAAAUUUUUGCAAAAAUACUAUCCGACUCCGUAAGACAACCAUUAAGAUCUCGGAAUAACUAAUUAGAGACACUUUUAUUGGUACAACAUGGUAUGUUGCCUCUUUGUUUUUUACAUUGAUUUGCAAAAUCACCAAAACAGGUAAAUUACGCAGAACUUGUCCUGAUUUCUGUGUCGCUUCAGAGGUUGAAACUCGUCAAAGGAAGAUCGAAAGAUGCCGUAAGCAGAUCUCAAAGCAAAGAUUAAUCCCUGAAAGUGACAUAAAUGUUGAAGAGCUGUGGGAUUAAAAAUAAAAUGUUUGAAAAGAUCCACUGACUGUUGUUUUUCACAUCUCCCUGAACACAGACUAACCCUGUAGAUAUGGAUCAUAAUCUGUUGGUAUCUGACAGUAAUGUAGGAACGUUUAUUAUUAGCAUUUUGGCGCGUCAAUUUGGAUAUCACCACCAACUACAACAUUGGCUAACUUUAUAUAAUUUACAUGAGAUUUUAUUGCAGUAUAACUUAUCGACAUUGCUUGAUAUUCCUCUCUAUUUUAAACACCACAAGCAACACCAUCAGUUUCCAGAAGCUGCUGAGGAUCCGAUCGUUCCCUCUGGCCCGGUUAUGGUUCUGAACAACAUCAUCAGUCAGAAGCCAGAACCGCCUCAUACAAUCUGAUCGUUUCUCCAGGUUCCUGAUGGUCCCACCUGGUGAAGAUUUGGUUUCUGUUGCAUAAACUCUUUACUAACAAAGUUAAAGAUGUGACUGAGAUGCUGCCCAACCAAACAGAUUCAACACAAAUAUUGA